rnacentral:precursor_RNA from 1 species
UUUAGUGGCAACAGCUUUGAACUAGAGAGGUAGAUGUAUUAAAGCAGCAUAGAACCAUAACUUCUAGAUAAUGUAGUUGCCACUAGGAGA